CCAAUAGCGUAUAUUAAAGUUGUUGCAGUUAAAAAGCUCGUAGUUGAAUUUCGGGAUCAGUACGCUGGUCAUGCCUUUGGUAUGCACUGGUGUCACUGGUUUCUCCCUUCUGAAGAACCGUGAUGUCAUUAAUUUGGUGUCGCGGGGAACCAGGACUGUUACUUUGAAAAAAUUAGAGUGUUUAAAGCAGGCUCACGCUUGAAUACAUUAGCAUGGAAUAAUGAAAUAGGACGUUUGACCCUAUUUUGUUGGUUUCUAGGAUCGACGUAAUGAUUAAUAGGGAUAGUUGGGGGCAUUAGUAUUCAAUUGUCAGAGGUGAAAUUCUUGGAUUUAUUGAAGACUAACUACUGCGAAAGCAUUUGCCAAGGAUGUUUUCAUUAAUCAAGAACGAAAGUUAGGGGAUCGAAGACGAUCAGAUACCGUCGUAGUCUUAACCAUAAACUAUGCCGACUAGGGAUCGGAUGAUGUUAAUUUUAUAAUGACUCAUUCGGCGCCUUACG
rnacentral:rRNA from 1 species